CCUUUGACGUUAGCGGCGGACGGGUGAGUAACACGUGGGUAACUACCUAUAAGACUGGGAUAACUUCGGGAAACCGGAGCUAAUACCGGAUAAUAUUUCGAACCGCAUGGUUCGAUAGUGAAAGAUGGUUUUGCUAUCACUUAUAGAUGGACCCGCGCCGUAUUAGCUAGUUGGUAAGGUAACGGCUUACCAAGGCGACGAUACGUAGCCGACCUGAGAGGGUGAUCGGCCACACUGGGACUGAGACACGGUCCAGACUCCUACGGGAGGCAGCAGCG
rnacentral:rRNA from 1 species